ACGGAAGGCAGCAGUGGGGAAUAUUGGACAAUGGGGGAAACCCUGAUCCAGCGACGCCGCGUGAGUGAAGAAGUAUUUCGGUAUGUAAAGCUCUAUCAGCAGGGAAGAUAAUGACGGUACCUGACUAAGAAGCCCCGGCUAACUACGUGCCAGCAGCCGCGGUAAUACGUAGGGGGCAAGCGUUAUCCGGAUUUACUGGGUGUAAAGGGAGCGUAGGCGGCCAGACAAGUCAGAUGUGAAAACCCGGGGCUCAACUCCGGGACUGCAUUUGAAACUGCCAGGCUUGAGUGCAGGAGAGGCAAGUGGAAUUCCUAGUGUAGCGGUGAAAUGCGUAGAUAUUAGGAAGAACACCAGUGGCGAAGGCGACUUGCUGGACUGAGACUGACGCUGAGGCUCGAAAGCGUGGGGAGCAAACAGGAUUAGAUACCCUGGUA
rnacentral:rRNA from 2 species